rnacentral:rRNA from 1 species
AUUGAACGCUGGCGGCAGGCCUAACACAUGCAAGUCGAGCGGAAACGAGUUAUCUGAACCUUCGGGGAACGAUAACGGCGUCGAGCGGCGGACGGGUGAGUAAUGCCUAGGAAAUUGCCCUGAUGUGGGGGAUAACCAUUGGAAACGAUGGCUAAUACCGCAUGAUGCCUACGGGCCAAAGAGGGGGACCUUCGGGCCUCUCGCGUCAGGAUAUGCCUAGGUGGGAUUAGCUAGUUGGUGAGGUAAGGGCUCACCAAGGCGACGAUCCCUAGCUGGUCUGAGAGGAUGAUCAGCCACACUGGAACUGAGACACGGUCCAGACUCCUACGGGAGGCAGCAGUGGGGAAUAUUGCACAAUGGGCGCAAGCCUGAUGCAGCCAUGCCGCGUGUGUGAAGAAGGCCUUCGGGUUGUAAAGCACUUUCAGUCGUGAGGAAGGUAGUGUAGUUAAUAGCUGCAUUAUUUGACGUUAGCGACAGAAGAAGCACCGGCUAACUCCGUGCCCAGCAGCCGCGGUAAUACGGAGGGUGCGAGCGUUAAUCGGAAUUACUGGGCGUAAAGCGCAUGCAGGUGGUUUGUAAGUCAGAUGUGAAAGCCCGGGGCUCAACCUCGGAAUAACAUUUGAAACUGGCAGACUAGAGUACUGUAGAGGGGGGUAGAAUUUCAGGUGUAGCGGUGAAAUGCGUAGAGAUCUGAAGGAAUACCGGUGGCGAAGGCGGCCCCCUGGACAGAUACUGACACUCAGAUGCGAAAGCGUGGGGAGCAAACAGGAUUAGAUACCCUGGUAGUCCACGCCGUAAACGAUGUCUACUUGGAGGUUGUGGCCUUGAGCCGUGGCUUUCGGAGCUAACGCGUUAAGUAGACCGCCUGGGGAGUACGGUCGCAAGAUUAAAACUCAAAUGAAUUGACGGGGGCCCGCACAAGCGGUGGAGCAUGUGGUUUAAUUCGAUGCAACGCGAAGAACCUUACCUACUCUUGACAUCCAGAGAACUUUCCAGAGAUGGAUUGGUGCCUUCGGGAACUCUGAGACAGGUGCUGCAUGGCUGUCGUCAGCUCGUGUUGUGAAAUGUUGGGUUAAGUCCCGCAACGAGCGCAACCCUUAUCCUUGUUUGCCAGCGAGUAAUGUCGGGAACUCCAGGGAGACUGCCGGUGAUAAACCGGAGGAAGGUGGGGACGACGUCAAGUCAUCAUGGCCCUUACGAGUAGGGCUACACACGUGCUACAAUGGCGCAUACAGAGGGCGGCCAACUUGCGAAAGUGAGCGAAUCCCAAAAAGUGCGUCGUAGUCCGGAUUGGAGUCUGCAACUCGACUCCAUGAAGUCGGAAUCGCUAGUAAUCGUGGAUCAGAAUGCCACGGUGAAUACGUUCCCGGGCCU